UGGGGAAUCUUGGACAAUGGGGGAAACCCUGAUCCAGCCAUGCCGCGUGAGUGAUGAAGGCCCUAGGGUUGUAAAACUCUUUCGGCGGGGACGAUAAUGACGGUACCCGCAGAAGAAGCUCCGGCUAACUUCGUG
rnacentral:rRNA from 1 species